GCCAGUGUGGUAUAGUGGUUUGAAUGUUGGACUAUGGCUCUGGAGGCCAGGAUUUGAAUCCUCGCUUUGCCA
rnacentral:tRNA from 1 species